rnacentral:tRNA from 1 species
CAAAUUAGAGCUUGUGAUUAAGUAUUCCAUUUACAUUGGAAAGAAAUUAAAUUUAAUUAAUUUGA